UACUGGUUCGCUAUCGGUCAGUCAGGAGUAUUUAGCCUUGGAGGAUGGUCCCCCCAUAUUCAAACAGGAUAUCACGUGUCCCGCCUUACUCGUUUUCAUCAAAGGUUAGUUUUCGUGUACGGGGCUAUCACCCUGUGCCGCUGGACUUUCCAGACCAUUCCACCAACACCCCUCUGACUUAAGGGCUAAUCCCCGUUCGCUCGCCGCUACUAGGGGAAUCUCGGUUGAUUUCUUUUCCUAAGGGUACUUAGAUGUUUCAGUCCCCCUCGUUUGCCUCAUGUAGCUAUGUAUUCACCACAUGAUGACCGCUUAUGCGGCCGGGUUCCCCCAUUCGGACAUCGUUAGCUCAAAUGCUUGUUACUAGCUCGCCAACGCUUUUCGCAAGUUACUACGUCCUUCAUCGCCUCUGACUGCCAAGGCAUCCACCGUAUACGCUUAGUCGCUUAACCAUACAACCCAAAUAGGUUUCACUUGCGUGAGCCACUUGAAUUGUUGCGACCAGCUGGUUUUACUUGUCUCAUCUUCGACCAAGAAGAUGGACUCGCCUUAGACUUGAAUAUUCAAGACACUUAACAAGUGUUUUAAGAACUCAAUUUUUUUCGUAUUAACACAACGACAGACAUCAUUGCGUUAAUUACUAUCAGCUUUCCAAAUUGUUAAAGAACAAUGCAUACCGGCUCGCGGUGCA
rnacentral:rRNA from 1 species